AAUAGUCAAUUAAUAUGACAUUAAAUUGCAAAUUUAAAAGAAUAUUU
rnacentral:tRNA from 1 species